GGGCCUAUAGCUCAUUCGAUUAGAGCAACUGACUCAUAACCAGUAGGUGCCUGGUUCGAUUCCAGCUGGGGCCAC
rnacentral:tRNA from 1 species